AGGGGUGAGGAGGAGGGCAGGUUAUACUUCGAAAACCAUUUGCUGACACUAAACUUUAGCACUAUGUCGAUUCGACUGUAAAACGGCCAAUUUCACCGAAUCAUUUAACUUGAACGCCUUUUCUGGCCAAUUCUAGCCUUUUUAACGGCACAGGUUAUCGUAAACCAUUAUGGGAUGACUGUAAUAAGGUUCGUAGAUCGACAAUAGCUCUUAAAACAUAAUAACGCAUUACAAACACCUCCACUAAACAGAGAAGAAUUAAGUAAAGAUUUGUGAGCUAGUUAAAUAGUUAUAAGAGGUUUUCACACAGACUAAUAGGCAUCUACAACUAUUUACUUAUCUACAUUCACUCGACCAUUUUAUAAUUUUUGACAACUUAGUUUUAACCCAUAUAGUUUUAAAGUGAAACGACUUCAAAACAAUUUAUCUUCAUUAGUUAUAUAGAUGAGAAAUGUACUA